ACCCACAGAAGAAGUCCUGGCUAACUCCGUGCCAGCAGCCGCGGUAAUACGGAGAGGGCUAGCGUUAUUCGGAAUUAUUGGGCGUAAAGAGCGCGUAGGCUGGUUAGUAAGUUAAAAGUGAAAUCCCGAGGCUCAACCUUGGAAUUGCUUUUAAAACUGCUAAUCUAGAGAUUGAAAGGGGGUAGAGGAAUUCCUAGUGUAGAGGUGAAAUUCGUAAAUAUUAGGAGGAACACCAGUGGCGAAGGCGUCUAUCUGGUUCAAAUCUGACGCUGAGGCG
rnacentral:rRNA from 1 species